rnacentral:sRNA from 1 species
UAUGCUAUUUAAGCUAUGAUUACAAGCGUGAAUGAAUACGAGCUAGGACUUGAAAACACUAUCCUUAUCAAAAGCACACUCUUCUAGUUCCAGAAUAAUCAAAGUGGGCACUGAACGGUUUUGAGCUCCUGGGGCUCUUUUCACUCCUGAACUCAUAGAUGUUGAGGUUGAUGGAAUGGCAAAUAUGGCGUUCCGUUGCGUUCAUGAAAUGGACUUCGACAACAGGAUGUAUGACAAUUUAUCAACAUAUAUCGUACCGUCCUGAGUGGAGGAAGUACCAUGCAUGUAUCCUGGUCUGCCAACUUCAAGUUGGCUAGAGAUUAAUGCUUGAACACUAUCUUCAUGUGGCUGUGAAGGGAAACAAAGAUAUAUGGCUGGGUUGAAGAAAUUGUGUUUAUGGAUGGAGGAUUCGCCACAAAGAAAACACAUGGUUUUACCUGGGUCGUGCAGUACUCACUGGAAUCCUAAUUUCUGGAUAUUACAGACAAGAAUACCAGGAAGAAACCUAGCUUGCGUGCCUAAGGAAGUGUGGACAGACAUA